rnacentral:rRNA from 1 species
GACGGGGGAUGCAAGUGUUAUCCGGAAUCACUGGGCGUAAAGCGUCUGCAGGUGGUUUCCUAAGUCCACUGUUAAACCUUGAGGCUCAACCUCAAAUCUGCAUUGGAAACUAGGAGACUUGAGUAUAGUAGGGGUAGAGGGAAUUUCCAGUGGAGCGGUGAAAUGCGUAGAUAUUGGAAAGAACACCGAUGGCGAAGGCAGCCCCCUGGGUCAAGAUUGACGCUCAUGCACGAAAGCGUGGGGAGCAAACAGG